rnacentral:rRNA from 1 species
GACGAACGCUGGCGGCGUGCUUAACACAUGCAAGUCGAACGGAAAGGCCCUGCUUUUGUGGGGUGCUCGAGUGGCGAGCGGGUGAGUAACACGUGAGUAACCUGCCCUUGACUUUGGGAUAACUUCAGGAAACUGGGGCUAAUACCGGAUAGGAGCUCCUGCUGCAUGGUGGGGGUGGGAAAGUUUCGACGGUUGGGGAUGGACUCGCGGCUUAUCAGCUUGUUGGUGGGGUAGUGGCUUACCAAGGCUUUGACGGGUAGCCGGCCUGAGAGGGUGACCGGCCACAUUGGGACUGAGAUACGGCCCAGACUCCUACGGGAGGCAGCAGUGGGGAAUAUUGCACAAUGGGCGGAAGCCUGAUGCAGCAACGCCGCGUGCGGGAUGACGGCCUUCGGGUUGUAAACCGCUUUCGCCUGUGACGAAGCGUGAGUGACGGUAAUGGGUAAAGAAGCACCGGCUAACUACGUG